UGGUAGUACUGACAGCCGCAACGGACCUCGCGUCCGAGGCUAGACGUCGACGAGGCUCGCGAGGCGCGUCCUCGUUGAUCCGGCUCCAUCCCCACCCCCCUAGAUUCCACUUGUCCACCUCCAGUCUCCUCUUCCUCUGCCUACCUGACGCGCGACACCCGGGACUGCGUCGCGCGGUUACGUCGCGGUCGGCCGCGGUCACGGAGCUUCUUCGGGCUGGCCCCUAUACUCACGUAUCCUCUAACGGCGUCACCUCCCCCGGUGUCAUUCGUCGUUCGCUCUUACGUCGCUGCUUAUCGUCCAGGGACGAGCCAACGAGAUAUCCGGCUUGAUGAAACCAGGGGUCGCCGCGACCCCGGAGAAAGGUAGAGAAAGAGAGAGAGUGCGUGUGUGUGCGUGUGCGUGCGUGGGUGUACCCGAGCGAGCGAGAGAGAGCCGUUCCGCCUCCGAGAGCUGCCCGCCCGCCGCGGCUCUCCCGACUUCUGGCCCCGGACUCUCUUCUUCUACCCUCUCGGCGGCGAGCGGCGGCCGACCGGGCCGGACAUCAGGAUUAUUUAUAGAAAGUUUUCGUGUCGGCCGACUGUUAUUGAGCCAUCCUAGCCAGAAUAUCGUCUCACCUGUCCUGCUCCGAGUCGGGUCUGUGGAGAUUCCGCGGCCCCAACACCUGGCCACCGAGAUGCGAGUCGAGAUAGGGCGGCGCGACGCGAAUCGACACGACCGGCCGCGACGAUGAACGCCGACGGCGGGAAGAUUCGAUUUUUUUACCGCUCUCCCUUGGGCUUCGUUCACAGCCGGCGGACGACACCGACGGAAGUUGUAGUAAUCGUAAUCGUAGUCGUGGCUGUACGGCGGCAGCAGGGACGUCGACUCGGUGGCCGGACAGGGAAGAUGCCGGGGUCAGGCGAGCUCGUUGCUGUCCGGGAAGUGGUCGCGGCAGUCGAGGCACGCGGCCAGGUCGAGCACCAGGUGGUGGAGUGUUGGGUGCUCGAGCACCUCGGCGUCCGGUAACGGCGGAUGGCAACGGGGCCUCUGCUGUCUACCCCUGAACGACCGGUGCAGGUUGAGCACCACGUCACAGAACACGUAACGCACCAGCAACAGCCGUAGGAAAUCGUCACCGAAGAAUUGCAACACGCUGGUCUCUGUCGGGACAACGAAAUGUUUGUCCCCCCAACCCCGUAACGUCGCGCGAGAGGUUAGCAGGACGUUUGGAAGCAGAAGAAGCUAAUUAUCUUCGAGGGUUCUUAAGCGUGGAACUGAUACUUGAGUGGAGAGAAACUGCCGGAGUCAGGCAUCGAUGUCGCGACGAAGGGGUCGAGCAGAAUCUCCCAGAGAUUACGCAAGCGUUGAUAAACCCUUGCUCCAGAUUCGCAAGAGGCGACGUCGCAUAAACGCGCGAGUUUUCAACUCGUGAAUACUCUUUCGUCGCGACAGCCUAACGAAAUCAUUGUCGGCGGCUGACGAUUCCAGCCGCCAGCUAGGAGGACUCCGAUCCAAACAUAUAUCGGGUGUCUCGGAAAUCACGAGACAAAACGUCAAAAAACUCAUUUCACGAGAUAAACUGAUAAAUUUGUAUACAUGAAGCUUUGUGUUUGAUAAACAUAUAAAAGGUUUCUUAAAUUUUCCAAAUUCUCUUAUAAAUUACUCGAAAACAAUUACAAUAAGAUUGAUGUUGAAUGAAAAUACUUAAUUGCAUAAGUAAGUAGAUAAUAGUGUAACGUAAGAAUCGCGGCGCCAAAUAAUGAACAAUCCUUUCAUUUAUCUUUGCUAUCAAAGAACGAGUGAUACUUAAAACGCUGCAGAGUCUCGUAGCAGUCAACGUGUUAACUGAUUUACAUCAUCAACGUAUAUACACGUUUUUAGUCUAAGCAGCUAAUAAAUAGUCAAUCAAUAUUAUAGAAAUAUUACAUUAUUACUAUUAUCAUACUAUUACUAUUACUAUUCUUUA